UACAGAGGUCCCAAGCGUUGUUCGGAUUCACUGGGCGUAAAGGGUGCGUAGGCGGUCGGGUAAGUCUGAUGUGAAAUCUCACAGCUUAACUGUGAAACUGCAUUGGAUACUAUCCGGCUCGAGGAAUGGAGGGGAGACUGGAAUACUUGGUGUAGCAGUGAAAUGCGUAGAUAUCAAGUGGAACACCAGUGGCGAAGGCGAGUCUCUGGACAACUUCUGACGCUGAGGCACGAAAGCUAGGGGAGCAAACAGG
rnacentral:rRNA from 1 species